UGAACGUCUGUCUAUAAGUGAGGAGGAGCAGGACAUGGAUGCUUCAAUUGCUCUGAGUAGGCGUUGGCCUUUCAUUUCCACCGCCUUAAGACGGCUCUUUCAACUACAGGUGUCCAGCCUGAGGCAGAAACAUGCCCUCCUGUGGCUCACUCACUGCCGGUACAAGGUUAUCCACGACCAAGGAUCUGGGAUCCGCUCUUUUUGAUCCUACCGCAAGAUUUUUCAUCUGGCAUAAGAAAAGAUUUGGCAAAGAGCUGAACGUAGAUCAGCUCUGUCGUUUUGAAUUUUGCUGCUCUAACCCUGAACUGUGUGAUGGCGUUAACCUGAGACGGUUGAAAGGCAGACCAUGGAUGUCUGCGGUGGACAAGAAAAGAGGCGCUCUGCUGGAUGGAGGCCAUGCAGAGGUGGUGUGAGGGAUCAGAUAUUGCCCAAGGGGGUCCACCAACGCAUCAUCCCCCAGCGAUGAGUAAGCUACCACCAGCGGUACCAGCGGAGAAACACUGCUGGAUGAGCAGGGAACAGUGGGAGACGACGUCAGAAAUUGCCAGAGUUAAAGUGGGAGUUGCUCAAGUGAAGGAGGCUGAGUCCAGAAGAGGAGCUCAUAAUGGUAAUGUGGCCAGCAGGUGGGAAAUGGCCAAGUGUCCUCUGGUACAGUUAGAGGGAGAAAUUGGGAGCUGGAGUGUUGGGAAACUGGAAGGAUGUACAGUGGUUAUAAUGAGGCUUGCAGAGUGUGUAUGUGUUGGAGGUAGAGCUGGGAGAAGGAGAGCACAGGUGAGACGGCCAUCACAGGAAAGCCAGAGUCAGACUUCAUCAGUCAACACCACCACAGCCUGCACAGCAGAGGAAGUAGUAGUUCACCUUGGGAAAUUAGUCUCACACUUGCCUUCAUUUCUUCUGAAGUCCCAGGAGCCGUUUCUUUUUUUUUUCUUUACAGUUUGUUUCUCUUGUUCUGUUUGA
rnacentral:lncRNA from 1 species